CACGUAGGGUGCGAGCGUUGUCCGGAAUUAUUGGGCGUAAAGAGCUCGUAGGCGGUGUGUCGCGUCGGCCGUGAAAACCUGCAGCUUAACUGUGGGCUUGCGGUCGAUACGGGCAUCACUGGAGUUCGGCAGGGGAGACUGGAAUUCCUGGUGUAGCGGUGAAAUGCGCAGAUAUCAGGAGGAACACCAGUGGCGAAGGCGGGUCUCUGGGCAGUAACUGACGCUGAGGAGCGAAAGCGUGGGGAGCGAACAGG
rnacentral:rRNA from 1 species